rnacentral:rRNA from 1 species
UGGGGAAUUUUGGACAAUGGGGGAAACCCUGAUCCAGCCAUCCCGCGUGUGCGAUGAAGGCCUUCGGGUUGUAAAGCACUUUUGGCAGGAAAGAAACGUCGCGGGUUAAUACCCCGCGAAACUGACGGUACCUGCAGAAUAAGCACCGGCUAACUACGUGCCAGCAGCCGCGGUAAUACGUAGGGUGCAAGCGUUAAUCGGAAUUACUGGGCGUAAAGCGUGCGCAGGCGGUUCGGAAAGAAAGAUGUGAAAUCCCAGAGCUUAACUUUGGAACUGCAUUUUUAACUACCGGGCUAGAGUGUGUCAGAGGGAGGUGGAAUUCCGCGUGUAGCAGUGAAAUGCGUAGAUAUGCGGAGGAACACCGAUGGCGAAGGCAGCCUCCUGGGAUAACACUGACGCUCAUGCACGAAAGCGUGGGGAGCAAACAGGAUUAGAUACCCUGGUAGUCCACGCCCUAAACGAUGUCAACUAGCUGUUGGGGGCCUUUCGGGCCUUGGUAGCGCAGGCUAACGCGUGAAGUUGACCGCCUGGGGAGUACGGUCGCAAGAUUAAAACUUAAAUGAAUUG